ensembl:snRNA U6 U6 spliceosomal RNA
AUGCUUAUCAUGAGCAGCACAUAUAUUAAAAUUGAAACGAUACAGAGAUUAGUAUGGCCCCUAUGCAAGAUUGGCACGCAGAUUUGUGAUGCAUUCCAUACAUUU